CCACAAUCACCCGACCUCAACCAAAUUGAGAUGGUUUGGGAUGAGUUGGACCGCAAAGUGAAGUAAAAGCAGCCAACAAGUGCUCAGCAUGUGUGGGAAACGGUGGUAUGACCGAAAGAGAGGAGAGAGGUAUAUACAUCUGGCCUGAGAAACAGUGGUGUUACAGAAAGAGGGGAGAGAGGUAUAUACAUCUGGCCUGAGAAACAGUGGUGUUACAGAAAGAGAGGAGAGAGGUAUAUACAUCUGGCCUGAGAAACAGUGGUGUUACAGAAAGAGAGGAGAGAGGUAUAUACAUCUGGCCUGAGAAACAGUGGUGUUACAGAAAGAGAG
ensembl:lncRNA